UACGUAGGGGGCAAGCGUUGUCCGGAAUUAUUGGGCGUAAAGCGCGCGCAGGCGGUUUUUUAAGUCUGGGGUUUAACUGCAGGGCUCAACCCUGUAUCGCCUCGGAAACUGGGAGACUGGAGUGUAGGAGAGGAAAGUGGAAUUCCACGUGUAGCGGUGAAAUGCGUAGAGAUCUGGAAGAACACCAAAGGCGAAGGCAGCGUCCUGGCAAGUCACUGACGCUCAGGUGCGAAAGCUAGGGGAGCGAACGGG
rnacentral:rRNA from 1 species